rnacentral:lncRNA from 1 species
GUUUUGGUUCAUGGGAUUUGGUCUAUGAGAUUUGGUUUUGGUUCAUGGGAUUUGGUCCAUGAACUUGGUUUUGGCUCAUAGGAUUUGGUCCAUGAGGUUUUGGUUUUGGUUCAUGGGAUUUGGUCCAUGAACUUGGUUUUGUAUGUGGACUUGGUUUGGUUUGGGCUUAUUUAGGUUCGAGUUUGGGUUCUGGUUUUAUGAGUGGACUUGGUUUGGGUUUGGAUUUAUUUGGGUCCAAGUUUGGGUUUAUUUGGGUUUUGGGUUUAGGUUUAUUUGGGUUUGGGUUUGGGUUUGAUUUUGAGUUCGGGUUUUGGUCUUAUUUGUGAACUUGGUUCAGGUUGGGUUUGGAUUUGAUUUGGGUUUGGGUUUUGGUUUUAUGUGUGGAAUGGUUUGGAUUUUAUUUGGGUUUGGGUUUUGGUUUGAUUUGAGUUUGGGUUUUGGUUUUAUUUGGGGAAUGGGUUUGGAUUUUAUUUGGGUUUGUAGGUGAACUUAAUUUGCAAUUUGGGUUCGCAUAUGAACUUAAUUUGCAAUUUGGGUUCGCAUAUGAACUUAAUUUGCAGUUUAAGUUCGUGUAUAGACUUGAUUUGCAAUUUGAUUUGGGGUCCGAAGAAAUCCCCUUUUGAUUUUGCAAUUUGAUUUGGGGUCCGAAGAAAUCCCCUUUUGAUUUUGCCAUUAGAUUUGGGGUCCGAAGAAAUCCCCUAUUGAUUUCGCAAUUGAAUUUGAUCUUCAAAUUUGGUUCUGAUUUGGGGUCCGAAGAAAUCCCCAUUUUGAUUCCAAUUCGGGGUCCGAAGAAAUCCCCGUUUUAAUUUUGAUUUG